rnacentral:rRNA from 1 species
UUGAUCCUACGGGGCGCAGCAGUCGGGAAUAUUGCGCAAUGGAGGAAACUCUGACGCAGUGACGCCGCGUAUAGGAAGAAGGUCUUCGGAUUGUAAACUAUUGUCGUUAGGGAAGAGAAAGGACAGUACCUAAGGAGGAAGCUCCGGCUAACUACGUGCCAGCAGCCGCGGUAAUACGUAGGGAGCGAGCGUUAUCCGGAUUUAUUGGGGGUAAAGGGAGCGUAGACGGGAAAAUAAGUUAGUUGUGAAAUCCCUCGGCUCAACUGAGGAACUGCAACUAAAACUAUUUUUCUUGGG